AACGUAGGACACAAGCGUUGUCCGGAUUUAUUGGGCGUAAAGAGCUCGUAGGUGGUUCGGUAAGUCGGGUGUUAAACCCCCAGGCUCAACCUGGGGACGCCACUCGAUACUGCUGUGACUAGAGUCCGGUAGGGGAGCGUGGAAUUCCUGGUGUAGCGGUGAAAUGCGCAGAUAUCAGGAGGAACACCAGCGGCGAAGGCGGCGCUCUGGGCCUGUACUGACGCUGAGGAGCGAAAGCGUGGGGAGCGAACAGG
rnacentral:rRNA from 1 species